UCCAGCCCAUUUAGGAGUCAUUUUUCUUUCACCUCAUGGAUAUAAAUCUGCUGCAUCCCGCCUACAAUUGACUGUCUCUCUGCUUCACUGUAGGACUUGUCCAUUCAGAACUGCUUAAUGAUCCUGAUCCUUCAGUCUCUUGGCACUGACCAUAAGUUGGGUGGGAAAGGGGUCAGCUUUGAGGCUGACUGAUAGAAAUAGAAGUGACUGCCCCUUUCAAGUCAAACUAUGGUGAGCCCUCCCUGCUAGCUUGCUCAAUCUGGAAUGCAGCUGCAGUCCAUGCUGCUUAAAAGCAAAUGUUUACAGGAGAGAACCAGUUUUCACAAGGCAAACAAUUUUCUGUUUCUUACAGAUUUACUAAUUAUUGAUCUGCACAGACACUUUUUUGAAAAGGAACAAAAGAGUACUAGGUCAAAGAGAAAAGUAGCAAAAUUUAUACUGCAUUAAUUUGUAUGAUACCAACAGUAUACUUGAUGGUAUUGCUUCUAGCUAUAGAAUUUAGCCAUAGAAAUUUCAAGGCUGACUACUUGUUGCUUCCAGGGGCUACUGCAUCACCUCGAGACUGCUGGAGUGAGAGUGUCCUGGAUUUACCUUCUUUCUGCAUAAUUCCUCAGUUGCAAAUUUACUAACAGGGACAGGAGUACAGAUCUGAAAGUUAAAACAUUUCCCUUCUGCCUCAUGCUCACCACGCAGGAAUUGAUGUAGCCAUGGGGAAAGGGGAAAACUGACAGCUCUUCAAGAAUAACCAGCUGGAGACCAGGCACACAAACAAAAGGGAUUUUCUCAUAUUGAACGCUCAUGGGGGAAGGACAAGGAAAAAUCUGUUUUCCAUUUUGCUUUUACAAGGAAUUCCUUGAAUUUUUAAAUCUAUAGUUUUUGUUCUUUAGUUGAGUGCCUGCUUCAGAAAAUGUUUUGCAUCAUGAAUUAGCCCUGGAUGCUGCAGGAAGCUGCAUGUGGGAAGCCCUGUGCUCCCAUGUGGAGCUUCACUAUCCUCAACGGUGUGCUUUGUGGGAAAGGCAUUGCCCUCAGAGAGAAACUUUCAGCACCAGUCAGUCUCCUGUUGUUUCCUUGCACUGAUCUUCUAGGUAAAAAAUGAAAGUAAAAGAAGUUAGCAAAGAGCUGAAAAUCACACAUGUCCUCAUACACAAGCAUGGAAAGGCACACAUGCACAAAGACAGGUCUGGGCUUCAAAAUAAACUAUUCUAAUUAAUUUGUAUGUUGCUGAAAUUAAGAGCUGGCAGUAUCUCCUCAUAUCCUAAGCAGCAUUCAACAGCUGCAAAAAUCUCACAGGGAGAAAUUUCACAUGUUCCUGCGUUCUGAUUUCAGAGGGCAUAACUCACAUUAAUGUAUGUUUUUACAGUUUUAUUUCUAAUCAUAUCUUCUGUUGUACCUUUGUCUUAUAUCCAGAUGAAUAAAAUCAAGGAUAAUUCUGUUCAGCUGAAGCACUCUUUCCUAAAAAAUUUGGCUGCUCUGUUCUUUUAAUUUGUUGCCUGACUUAUGUUGGCCAACAUACCAAGUCUCAAGUCACAAUAUUCUUAUUACAAAUAGCAGUGUUUGCUGUUCUGAAUAUUAUAACAGUUAUCUCAUUCACUGCACUUGAGACACUGUACCUGCCUGGCUGAUCACCUUGCAGAAGCUGUAAGUAUGAGUUCCUAUAUAGUCAUACAGAUUGUAUGAUCAGUUACCCUUGUGCAAAAAAGUAUGUGAAGGCUGUCCUUGCUGAGACUCUUCCUUUGUUUGUACUAUUGGCAGCAAUCAUACGUGGAAGUCCAUGUUUACAGAGAGAGAAUUUUCUGAGCAAAACAGAUGGGACAAAUUAAUCAGAGAUAAUAGGCACAUUUUACAGAUUUUGCUUUUAUUUCUUUCCUAUUUGAAAAGCUAUCAAUUCAGAAACGUUGUUAACAUGGGUGCCAGUUUGCUAGAAUUAUUCAGAGCCAGAUCCAGCUGCUUGUGUUUCUCUUGGAUUGUGGCUUCCUCUAUCAAAUUAGGGGGAAUACUCACAACUAAGAUAUAAUGUUAGAUGCCAGAGGUUUGGGCCCAGCCAGACUAAAAGGUCAGUAAUUGACGUACAGCAGUUUUAUCUCCAGUGGUCCUCAAAACACAUCAAGAAGAUAAGAAUGUUGGGCACAACUUCCUUCCAGCCGUGCCACCUACCUCAGUAGCCCUGAGAAGUGUAUGCCUCUGUUAGCAAGGAAACCUUCACACUGAUGUUAAAAUGCCUUUACAUUACAACAGGACGUUUGUUGCUAAUUUGUUAAGGUUGACUUAAAUAGAUUUCUACAUUUUUUUUUAAGAAAAUAAGGUAUUCAAAGAGAAUCUGCUGCGUGGGCAGCAAGGCUCUGCUGCUUUUUUUCUGAGGGCACAGUGGAAGCAAUACUCAGGAGAUCAGCUCCAAAAUAUGUCUGCACAGAUAAUAGAGGGGAGAGCAAGCAGCCAUAAAAAACCUGCAAAAAACUUUGUCACUGUCUGUAUCAAAACCUGAUGGUCACUUAAAAAAAAAAAAAAAAGUCUACUAAUGUUUAAUAGAAUAAAAACAAUGUUAUUACAUUCAGAACAGACAGAGCAGAUGUAGUGAGCAAGUUAAAUAUUUCUGUGACCAGUACUAUGAAAGCCAACAAUAUUAUGAAGCACCAAAGAAAGGUGUGAAAAAUCUGUUGGACCGUUUAUACUCCUGGCCAUCCUCCCACAGAAAGACCCUAUUAAGUCAAGGUGCCAGAUUAACAGCCCUGGAGACUUUCUGUUCCAAGGACAUCCAAAGGACCAGCAGUGAGAGUCCAGUUUUUGCCAUGCUGCCCUUGCAACGUGACAUUGAUGUGACUGUACUGACCAAAGGAGAAAGUAGCUCAGAUUGUUCAGGUCAGAGUGUUCAGGAUAUUUUCCUAUUUGUUCAAGUGACUUGGGAACCAGCAUCCUGACUGCUAAGCAAGCGUUGUUCCCAGCGCAGACAGGACUUCAGACUCGGGGAGAUAUUUUUCAAACCAUGAUAUAGAAAGUGUCAAGCUUUCUUUGCUUCUUGCUCUUAGAAUUCAAUUGUGUAAAGUUUACACCUGAGUACUUGGACCGUGAACAAUUUAUUUGGAGGUGCCAAUCAAACAGGCAGCAGUACAAAUACUCCCAGAUGUACCUGCAUUUUAUUUUGCAGGUACAGAAGGAAAACUAGUUUUCAGUGAGUUGAAAGCCCCCAGAUUCUGUUUCUUGAUUAACCCUUUUUAUAUUUUGUUUAUUUUAUUUUGUUCUGUUGUGUUUGUACACGUGUGGAAGGGGGCAUCAGGAGUAUUUCUUUGGCUUUUCUUCAAAGAUUAACAGAAGCAUUUUUAAAACUGUAGUUCUGGUGAAAUAGCCAGGAAAGAACUAUGACAUUAUUAUCAGUAGCAUCAUGAUAGUUUUCUUCUCAGGAUCCAUGUGAUAGAUUCCUGGACUAGUACUACAAUUUUCUCUAUACUUAGGGGGACACUUUAACAGCCAGAUGAGGCUUACAGGGAUUUUUUGGUACAGAUGUGCUAGUGAAAGCACUGCUAACUCCUCUGCCAGCUCACUUGUGAGGCAGUGAACGCGUGGGUCAAGAACAGGGAAUGGGCAAGGCAAGGCAAGGCUCAGUGAUAUUUAAUCUUCCAAUAUGUUAGUGUUCUAUCAAGAGAGACGUAAUUUUUCUCAGGCCAUCAGUCUGUUAGCAUUGAGUGUUCGUGUACUGAAGCGUGAGGGACUGUAUCUUCCUUUGAUAGGAAACCUGUCUGAUACAAACCUACAGAAUAUAUCAGACUUACGUGAUAUCAGCAUAAAGUAACUGGUAUGGUUCGAUACGGUCACGGGAGCUUGCUUUGGUGUCGUUAACUUAAAGACAAGGUCUUAGGUCCAGACUGCAUCUGGUCUUACAGAUUCUGAGGGUAUAAGUAUGUGGUACAAAAUGCAGUCAUUAUGUGUGUGUUAUGGAGUCCCCAAAUUCCUUGUUAGAGAUUAGAAUAAAAAUUUUUAUUUUCAAGCCUUGGAGUAUGGUUGAGAAUUGACAUGCACUGUAAAAUAACUCAUGGGUUUCAGAUUCAGGCUGCCUGUAUUUUGUCAUUAGGCAUGUGAUGCAAGAGCAUGUAAAUCAACUUGGCAUCUCCCUGUAGGAAAGGUACAUUCUUUAGGCUAAACCUAUGCCUCCAGGGUCUUUCCUUGGAAAGCUCUUUCAACAGGGGUGUUUUCUGUAACUAGGGGAGCAAAUACAAGCAAAUUCUCUCAUUUAUGAUCUAAAAAUGUAGACACAAUAGACUAAUAGUUGCUAAAUUAUUCAGUAUCUCAUUUUAAGGAGCUUCCUUUCCUGAAAUUAAAUUGACAUAUUGAGUAUGAUCCAGCUCAUACUCAUGUGAUUUUUCAUGACAGAUCUGUUCCCUCAUCCCCUCAGAAUACUCUUGUUUUACAUCUGCUUGUACAUCAUCUGCAUUUCAGAAGUCUGAGAAGCAGUAGAUGCUUACAAAGGGGAUUUUUGUCCUGCCUUAGAUCAAAGGCUUAGUUCCUGCCCUCAUUACAGACUGAAUACAAACAGUAUUUACCUUUUCUAACUCCCUUGUCCUUGAAUGUGUUUUUUCUUCACAUAAUCUCUCCUCUUAAAUGCACUUCAGCAGAAAAAAAGGUAAAAUAUCUUCUAUCACACAAGAUUGUUUAAUAUAGCUCAAGAAAAUCAUCUGUUAUACAAUAUGCAUGAUACAAAAUUAGUUUAUAUUUCUAAAGUCUUAGACAUCGUACUCCCAAGUUCAUGUUGUAAUGAGAACAUAGUAAAUAAUUAGUGAUUACUGUAUGCUGAAAAAUGCUACAUACACAUUAAUACAAGUCUGUUUAGGCCACAUGCACACACACUUCAAUUACUUUACAAAGUUAAAGUUAUAGAUGGUAUUGAUUUACAGGUAUUGGUUCCAGAAUGUUCUGUAGCUGUACUCUUUGAGUAAGCUUUUACAAAUAUAUUGGGGAAAAAAAAAGUGAAAAAAAGAGU